rnacentral:rRNA from 1 species
UGGGGAAUAUUGGACAAUGGGGGCAACCCUGAUCCAGCAAUGCCGCGUGUGUGAAGAAGGCCUGCGGGUUGUAAAGCACUUUAGUGGGGGAAGAAAUGCUGCGUUUAAAUAGAGCACGGAGUUGACACUACCCCAAGAAUAAGCACCGGCUAACUCUGUGCC